rnacentral:rRNA from 1 species
UACGAAGGGUGCAAGCGUUACUCGGAAUUACUGGGCGUAAAGCGUGCGUAGGUGGUUCGUUAAGUCUGAUGUGAAAGCCCUGGGCUCAACCUGGGAAUGGCAUUGGAAACUGGCGACCUAGAGUGCGGUAGAGGGUAGUGGAAUUCCCGGUGUAGCAGUGAAAUGCGUAGAGAUCGGGAGGAACAUCUGUGGCGAAGGCGACUGCCUGGACCAGCACUGACACUGAGGAGCGAAAGCCAGGGGAGCAAACGGG